rnacentral:rRNA from 1 species
GAUGAACGCUGGCGGCGUGCCUAAUACAUGCAAGUCGAGCGAACAGACGAGGAGCUUGCUCCUCUGACGUUAGCGGCGGACGGGUGAGUAACACGUGGAUAACCUACCUAUAAGACUGGGAUAACUUCGGGAAACCGGAGCUAAUACCGGAUAAUAUAUUGAACCGCAUGGUUCAAUAGUGAAAGACGGUUUUGCUGUCACUUAUAGAUGGAUCCGCGCCGCAUUAGCUAGUUGGUAAGGUAACGGCUUACCAAGGCAACGAUGCGUAGCCGACCUGAGAGGGUGAUCGGCCACACUGGAACUGAGACACGGUCCAGCCUCCUACGGGAGGCAGCAGUAGGGAACCUUCCGCAAUGGGCGAAAGCCUGACGGAGCAACGCCGCGUGAGUGAUGAAGGUCUUCGGAUCGUAAAACUCUGUUAUUAGGGAAGAACAAAUGUGUAAGUAACUAUGAACGUCUUGACGGUACCUAAUCAGAAAGCCACGGCUAACUACGU